rnacentral:rRNA from 1 species
AUGGCUAGCCCCGCCGCGGGCGACCAUCGCUACCUUUUCGUAUGCACCCACGGCGAUUGUCAGAUUCGAGAUGUUGUUUCCCAUGAGUUCGCCGAGGAUCAUCGCCGUCCGCACGAAUACAGAGAUCAUCUCCGUCGUUCCGAGCUGGCCCACGCCAAGCAGGAGCUUCAGGGACGCCGCAGGGACGCCCAACGCCAUCGAGGGCGGCGCAAGGCCAGCUCUCUUGAGUCAUCUUCCGGCGAAACCGGGUGUGAUGAGCAUGCUGGAGAUACUGAUCAACAGCUUGAUGCUAUAGAAGUACAAAAAUCGAUGCAUGGUGGGAUCGAGAAACAAGCAAAGAACGACACAAUAUUUACUCCCAAGCAAGCUGGGUUAGGCAGGUCAUACAGGGACAUGUUGAAGGACGAGGAAGAAGAUGUGGUUUUGUACCGUCGUUUCUGGGAAUGCACUUGGGGCCGCAAGUUUGGCUCCUUCGAAGGCUACACCUUUUUGACUCCCACACUUUACACAUAUGGAACCAUCCCAGAACAUGCUGGCCCCUUCAGUUUCUUGCAGAUCUUCUCCAUCAAAGUCAUGGAGAAUGAAAUUUGGAGAAUCAGGUGGCCAGUGGAGGUAUAUGGCUUCAUUGCCGCUCGAGACAAUUUGGAUCGCAAUCGCAACCUUCUGUUCAGCCAGACAAGGGAUGACCCCCAAAUUCUCACUCAACAGGAUUCAUUUUUGCAAUUGACUGGCCCGUGUCGCCCAAUUGCGUUGAUCGACCCUGUUGUCUUUGAGAUUCAACUAAAAGUGAAGGGCACAGCAGAGUGUGAAGAUGAAACAUUGAUGGCUCGAGCGUUUGAGUAUGGAUAUGGUUUUGGAGAAUAUGGUGAGCUUGCCUGUCGUCGUUGGGCUGGGUCAUGGCCUGGUGAUUAUAGAGGUCGUGUGGUUGCCCGUACUGCUGACAUAGAUGAGGAUAUUGUGCUGCUUGAUUCUGGAGAAGGUCGUUUGCAAGUGAAUCCAGACGGUCGUAUUGUCCUUCAAAGGGGUGUUGUUUGUGUGGAACGUGAGGGAAUGCUCACGGUUUCGGUGGAAGCCUACUCAAAGGCAGGUAUUGGUCAUGCAGAUUGUGUUGAAUUCAAGCCCAGAAAAUCCCUGACAAGUGAUGGUACUUGCAACCUUGGUUUCUGCACUGUGCAGUUUAUUGUUGGUUGGUCCCCCAUGGCAAGAAAGUAUGAUAUGAUGUACGAUGGCAACUGA